rnacentral:lncRNA from 1 species
GCGUUUGCAAUACCAACCUGGCAAUCAGUUCUACAAGACUAUCAUGAAAAUCAGUUGUACUCUGUUUUGCCCUCCUCCAGCACAUUGCUUGACCAGAGCUGCUGAUGGGGAACCUAAGCUAGGUUCAGGUGCUGCAGCGGUGAGUACAUCACUCUGCUCAUCUGCUGAUAAUGUAGCCCGCGCUAGUCGGAAGCUUUCCUGAUGACACAUCGUUCUCCCGGCACCCUCCGGCAAGAUGGACCCAUGACCAAGGAUAAAAGAAUAAUGCGGUAGCUUUC